GGUAGUAACUAAUAGUAAAACCAAUAAAAUUUGGCAGUUAUAACCUUUUAGAGAAACUCGCUUCAUAAUCGACAAUCCCCGUUAAUUUUCACUUAAUUUAAAAGUCUUUAUACCGCCGUUACAGGUAUUAAAUAAAAUCACACACCCAAAAAACCAUAAAAAAUCAGGUCAAGGUGAAACCAAUAAUUAAGAAGAAGUAAGUUACACUAAUAACAAAUUAAGGAAAAUACAACCUAAAUUAAUUAGAAAGAGAAUCUAAAAGUAAAUAUUAAUUAAAAUUUAAUAUUGUAAUACAAAAUUGUAAUGC
rnacentral:rRNA from 1 species